CUCGGGUUACAGACGCUUCAGGUUACAGACUCCGCUAACCCAGAAAUAGUACCUCGGGUUAAGAACUUUGCUUCAGGAUGAGAACAGAAAUUGUGUGGUGGCACCGCGGCGACAGCAGGAGGCCCCAUUAACUAAAGUUGUACCUCAGGUUAAGAACAGUUUCAGGUUAAGAACGGACCUCCAGAAGGAAUUAAGUUCUUAACCCGAGGUACCACUGUAUUCACAAUGUGGCACAAUGGUUAGAGUGUUGGACUAGGACUUAGGAGAUCAGGGUUCAAAUCUCCACUCAGCCAUAAAGCUCACUGGGUGACCUUGGCCAGUCACCAUCUCUUAGCCUAAUCUACAUCACAGAGUUGUUGUGAGGAGGAAAUGGGGAGAAGGAGAACCAAGUACACCACUUUGAGAUCCUUGGAAGGUAAAGGUUGUAUAUAAAUGUAAUAAAAAGUAAUAAUAAUUUCAUAUUUUACCAGUAUGCUGCUACAGCAUCUAGACCAGUGAGCCAGUAUGUAGUUAAGAAAAAAUUAUCCUGCCUCCCUGAACAUCAUAGCUAGGAAAACAAAAAGGGAAAGGAGAAGGAAGCUCCCCUGGCAUAUGAAUAAAUAUAUGCAAAAAGUGGAGAAUUUUAUUGACCUAUGAUCCUAAGAAAGGGAUAGCUGCUAGCUUUGGACAAUCCAAAGAGGACUGUCGCACUUGCCUGUCUCCCAAUAUUCUUCUCACAGUAAUUUGCAAACACAAAAAAAAUCAAAGUUGCUAUUUUAAUAUCUGCAGUAAUUCAAUUUGUAUUCUUAAAAUAAUUUCCAGAGUGGUAGAUGUGUUAAAAAAAUUGUAGCAAAACCAGAGUCUUAUGACACCUUAAAAGCUAGCACAUUUAUUAUGGCAUAAGCUUUUUUUCUGGUAAAGUCUAAAUCAAAGAAGCUAGAGUUUGUUUCAUCGGAUUCUCUACAUUAUAUAUUUCAUAAACCUUCAAUUCUGUCAUUUGUAAUAAAAUUUUAAAAACCCUCACUUCUUGCUCCAAGUUUACCAUCUAUAGCCACCAUCUUACAAACAAGUGUUAAUUUCAAGGUUCAAAAAAUUGCCUACUUGAGUAAAUUUAUGUAUGUAUUCAUGUUUACUGAGCUGACACCUAAUUAUGCACUAACUAAAGGAAGAUAUAAGAAGUAAUGAUUGACAAUUUAUUCAGUUUAUGGAGUUUGACAAUAGUAAAUUUUGUGUAUUUCACACAUUGUACAGAGAAUCAAAUAACAUUUUUGCUACACCAACAUACAAAAGUUUUUUAGUAGUAAAAAAUAACAAGUACUGACAUAAGCGGUUCAAAUGAAUGUUGUAUAAUUUAUGUUACCUUAGCAAUGUGCAUGUUACUGCAGCAUAUGCUCUUUCAAUGCCACUCUGGUAAUGUCAGACGAUCUAGGCAACAAUGGCGGCAGGUGCCUAUUGGAACUGGCGGGGCGGAAGAUGGGGAGACCACCAGUAAGUGGAGCCAGAGCCAAUAGCCAGCAGAGCCAACUUAAUUCUAGUAUUGUCCAUGUCACUUUCCCUGCUCAAUUCUAAUAGGACAACACUGAGACUAAGAAGGAGGAAGCUGGCCAGAAGUGGCGCCUCUUAGAUUGACUGCAACGAAGAUAGAUUGCAAGUAACUGGGUUGAUUACAAGAAAGAAGGCACACAGGUGGAGGCAGACUGAGUUUGGCCCCCAUUGGCACUAAUGUGCAGACCUCCACUGCAGACCACCCUGACCCAACCAGUCAUCCUCCAGUUUUUUGGUCUAUAACUGCAAUUAGCCCCAACCAGUAGUAGACCAAAACAACUGGAGCGCACUGGGGUGGGGUUUUUUUUGGGGGGGCAAUCUAGGACAUAUGAUGAGUUCUUGAUGCAGUUACAGUGGUGCCUCGCAAGACGAAAUUAAUUCGUUCCGCAAGUCUCUUCGUCUUGCGAGUUUUUCGUCUUGCGAUGCACGGUUUCCCAUAGGAAUGCAUUGAAAAUCAAUUAAUGCGUUCCUAGGAAGCCGCCUUCAGACUCAGGUCCGGGGACAGUCUGUCCCCGGACCUCUUCUGAAGGCUGGGGGGGGGCAAGGGCUUUUCGGCCCACCCCCAGCAAAUUAAACAACCCCGGGACAGCGGAGGACUUCUCCGCUGUCCGGGGCAACUUAAAAGCCCCUGGGAAGGCAGGCAGGGGGACAAAGACUUUGCCCCCGCCAGCCUUCAGAAGAGGUCCUGGACCUCUUCUGAAGGCGGGCGGGGCGAAAGUCUUGCUCCCCGCCUUCAAAAGCCCUCCGGGACAGGCAGGCAGGGGAGCAAAGACUUUCGCCCCCGCCCGCCUUCAGAAGGUCUUCCCUCCCCCGCCCGGCCGGAGCACCGUUCCGAAGCCGGGCAGAGCGGAGGUCUUCCCUCCCCCCGCCCGGCCCGGGCACCGUUCCGAAGCCGGGCGGCGGCGGCAGGUGUUCCCUCCCCCCCCGCCCGGGUUCGGGGCCCCGUUCCGAAGCCGGGCGGCGGCGGCUGGGGGUCCCUCCCCCCGCCCGGCGUGGGCGGAGCCGUCCGAAGCCCGGCGGCGGCGGGAGGAGGUGUCCCCGCCCCGCCGCCAGGCUUCGGAGGAGGUCCGAGGACAGUGGGGAAGACGCACUGCGCUUCCCCGCUGUCCCUGAGAUUUCCCUAUGGGCUGUCGUCUUGCGAAGCAAGCCCAUAGGGAAAUUCGUUUUGCGAAGCGCCUCCAAAACGGAAAACCCUUUCGUCUAGCGGGUUUUCCGUCUUGCGAGGCGUUCGUCUUGCGGGGUACCACUGUACUUAGUACACCAGCCUCUCCCCACUUAGGGCUUAUUCACACUUACUAUUUGCCCCACACUUUUGAGGCACAGGCUCACGCUUUCAAGCACCACAUCCAAGCACUUUCCCCACCACCACCUUUCCCCAGAAAACCUGAUCUUUGCUUUGAUUUACUGGUAGAGAGCAGGUUUUUGCAGGGAAAGCAACGGGGGGCGGGGUACUCAGACAUGGAGCUUUAAGGAAUGGACCUGUACCUAGAAACUUGGCACAAAAGGAAGUCAGGAUGAGCCAUUUUGUCUCCAAGAGUAGUGUGCUGUUCCUAGGUCACUGGUUCUAAACUCUCAUUAUGAUCAUUGAUAGUGUCUUGGGCUUUAUUUGUUUUCUAAUGUAGCAACAGCUACCUAGAGUCUUUUUCAAAUCAAUAUUUAUGAUCCCUCCUUGUGAUUCUUUUACGUUAUAAGAUUCAGAUUACUAUUUCAAACUCACACACUCUCAUGACUUAAAAUGUAGGUACUUCUCCCCAUUUGGCUUGGUUUGCUCUCCUAUGCUAAAAUUGUGUUGUAAUGCUUGUUUUCAGUCACUUGGUGUUGGUUUAGUGGUGUUUGCUUCAACAUCUGUGAAGAUAUAGCAAACAACACAGUAGUGACACCUAGUGAUAGAAAAAGAGUAUUAACAUUCUUAAGACUAAAGAGACUGCUGUUGACUGCAGGGGAGCCUGGAAACAGACAUCCCUUGAACUAUGGAAGAACAAAAAGUAACUCUCCAGUUCUGUAUACUGUACAUUGAACAAACCAUUUAGAGGGAACAAGGAAUGCUCAACUACAUAACACUGUUUUUUUAAAGAAAAUACUGCUCUGUAGUGGUUUUUCUCUCUCAUUUGAGUUUUAAUAGAAACCAAUGUAUACUAUGACAGAAGGAAAACAAGCCCAAGUUGGGUAAACUGUUGUUAGGACAUACCCCAAAGUAUUACUUUUAGAACCCAACAGUCCUGACUGACCUUGGGCCAAAAGUGCAAUGCUAUUUUAUUAUUUACUGAAUUUAUAUCUUGCCCUUCCUCCCCAAGGAGCCCAGCAUGUUGUCCUUUCCUUUACUCAUGUUGGUGAUCUAGUAGUUCACCAAGCAGCAGUCAUGGCUUCCUAUUUUCAUACUCUGCAUAGUUUCUAAAAGGAGAACUACAACUGGGAGGAAACCGUGCCUUUUGAUCAGGAAGCCCAUCCCCACAAUCCCAUCUGGAGUGCAUGUGUGGCCAAGUUGCGAAUUCUUUUAGCAGACUUUUUGAAACGAAGAAAGGCUUCAUGGUAAGAGAAAAGAGAUCUUGCGCCUUUAAGAUCCCUGGCAGAGGCCAGCUCUCCCUUCUCCGCGGAGAAAACUGCACCUGUGCAACUUCGGCCUCCCACGGAAAAGACGAAAGGAAGUGGCUACGAAAAGCCUACGGAGAAGGAGAUUCUCCCGCGCAGGCUGUGCGCGCAGAAGGGGCAGCCGGAGAAGAUCCUGGUCCUUUUCAGAAUAAGAAAGGACGCCCCCAGAAAGUUCUCCACGCCGCCCUCCUGCAAACAUAGCGAGCAGCGGGGAGUUGGGAGCCAUUAAAAGGUAAGCAGAAGUUAAAAACAGAUGAGGAACCGCUGCUGAGAGCCACUCAGGCAGCAUUGGAACUUGCUGCGAGAAGUUUCCCCUCAGCUCCUGCGGAAAUGAUUGGACGCGCAUCCAGCGCAGAGCCAUUAGUACAGCCGCAGGGAAGGAGGGCCGCAUCCCCCGCAGGUCUCUGGUCCCGGGCAACCUUUCAGGCAGGCCUCGCCUCCCCCUGCCUAUCCCACCCGAGACCGAGGGCCAUUAUUCCCCACCAUGCUUUGCGCCCAGAGAGUGUGGGGUUGAGCGGGGGGGGGGGAGGUGGGAGAGAGGAGCACCCGCACAGCUGCUUGGGUCUCUCUCCGCUCCCUCCCGAGACCGCAGAGGAGCAGCAGCAGCAGCAGGGCGCGCGCGGACUGACCCGGGACCGCGAGCGCCCGCCCCUUUCCCGGCACCUUCCCUGCCCAGCCU
rnacentral:lncRNA from 1 species